AUGCCGCCGUUAGAGAAGCCGUCCAAGCCCUCCUUCCUUCGGCGGAGCCGCCUUCCUGGGGAGGCAGGCUCGGAGUUCGCCGAAGGCCGUCGUUCGUGCGACAGGGACCCAAGAUUCUCUCUUGAUGUUGGCCGCAUGUCUGUCGACGAUGUAGGUCUAUCCUGGGACGGGCCCCUGCGCGUCCUAGGACGGCUACCUCUUCGGCGCCGGCGCCGGCAUUGGCCUUGGCCGAGCGCCUCCGCCGCUGUCACGGCUCCCGCCCAUCCUCUCCGCGCUCGAGGGCUCACCUGCCGGCGUGGUGGAACGCUCCGACGGCCAAAUUCCCGUGGAAGAUGA
rnacentral:rRNA from 1 species